rnacentral:rRNA from 1 species
UGGGGAAUAUUGGACAAUGGGCGAAAGCCUGAUCCAGCAAUACCGCGUGUGUGAAGAAGGCCUUCGGGUUGUAAAGCACUUUAAGCAGGGAAGAAAAAAUUCAGGCUAACAUCUUGAGUCUUGACGGUACCUGAAGAAUAAGCACCGGCUAACUCUGUGCCAGCAGCCGCGGUAAUACAGAGGGUGCAAGCGUUAAUCGGAUUUACUGGGCGUAAAGCGUGUGUAGGUGGUCGGGAAAGUCAAUUGUGAAAGCCCAGGGCUUAACUCUGGAACUGCUUUUGAUACUGUCUGACUAGAAUUCGGUAGAGGGAGGCGGAACUCCAGGUGUAGCGGUGAAAUGCGUAGAUAUCUGGAAGAACACCAAUGGCGAAGGCAACCUCCUGGGCCUGAAUUGACACUGAGACACGAAAGCGUGGGGAUCAAACA